rnacentral:tRNA from 1 species
UUGACUUUUAAAAUCGUGAGGGUUCAAGUCCCUCUAUCCCCAACUYUACU